rnacentral:misc_RNA from 1 species
UGAAGUAACAGAAGCGAAUUUGCUCCCCUCUUUUUUAAUAUUAGGGUUGAAGCCAUUAAAAGCAAUCACACGCACAGAAAAAAAAAAUCCUACUAAUUCUAGCAUAAAUUAAAGUUGUAUUAAAGAGAUAUACUCAAUAAUAUAUAGAGAGAGAAAGAAAGAGAUAAGUGGACCUAUACAAUCUGCUGAUGAAAAAACAUGCGAAGAUUACGAAAAGAAUAUUCAGUUAUUCUCAUCUUAUGUUACCACAACCAGGGAGACCUCUCUCUCUCUUGAACUUACUAGCCAGGAACACUCGUUUAUAAAUCAUUUCUUACUGGAUGGGAAUCUAUCAUGAUAAGAAGAAAAUG